rnacentral:lncRNA from 1 species
CACACUCACUGGUCUUGGCACUUUCUGAAGCAGUUCUGGAAGUUCUCUUUUGUGUCUUUAUGAGGUGUGAUUAAAGAAAAACAUGGUGCUGCUGCCAAGUGCCAUCCAAUCUUUAAUCAUGAUUACAAAGAUUUAUGCCAUUGCGUCUGUUUUAAGAGUUGUACAUGGUGUUAGCUAUUACUUUUUUUGUUGUUUUUUGAGGCAGGAUCUCCCUUUGUAGUUCAGGGUGAGCCUGAACUCACUAUACAGCCCAGGCUGGCCUCAAACUUGUGGUGAUCCUCCUGCCUCUGCCUCCCAAGUGGUGGGAUUACAGGCAUGUGCCACUUUGCCCAAUUUAGCUGUUACAUUUUAGGUCUUAGAUUAAUUUUAAGUGAAUUAAGACUUUUUUAGAGAACAGGGUCUCACUAUAUAGGUCAGUCUGGCCUUGAACUCACUAUGUAGCCAUGGCUGGCCUGGAACUUGUGGCAAUCCUCCUGCCUCAGCCUUCUGGGUCCUGAGAUUACAGUUGUUGGCCAUCACGUCCUGCUGACAUUUUUAAAUUGUGUUAGAAUAUACAACACAAAAAUUGAUCAUUUUACUGGGCAUGCUACCCAUCUCAGUAGCUGGGACUGUAGGCACACAUCUUGCUGGACUGUCAUUGAUCUAAAUGCUUGUCCUUGUGCCUUAGUAUAUACCUCACUGACUACAUGACUAUGGCUUUAUAGUAAUUGUUGAUGUAGUGUAAAAUUGUUUGCACUGGUUCUAGUUUCUUGCAUUUCCAUGUGAAUUUUAGGAUAGUUUGGCAGUUUCUACAAAAAUGCUUGUUGGAAUUUUAGUAGAGUGUGCAUGAAUUUAUAGAUUAGAUUGGAAAGAACAGGAGUAUUCCAAUUCAUGGACAUGGAAUGUGUCUCAGUUUAUUGAGAUCUUUAGUUUUUUUCAUCAGUGUUUUGUAAUUUUUAGUGUAUGAGUCUUGUAUGUCUGUUAUUUAUUCUUCAGAGGUUUUUUUGUUUUGUUUUUUUUGAGACAGUCUCACUUUUGUAGGCUGGCCUCAAACUCCUGGCAGUCCUCUUGUCUCUGCCUCCUGAGAGUUGGGAUUACAGGCAUGUACUACCAUGCCUGGUCUCUUCCUAAGUAUUGUGAAUGCUUUUUGCUGAUUUUAUUUUUGUAUUGCUUAUUGCUAGUAUAUGGUAAUACAAUUGAUUAUGGAUUUUUGUGUACUAGUUUUAUUCUUUAACCUUGCUAGUUUAUUCAUCCUAACAGGUGUGUGUGUGUGUGUGUGUGUGUGUGUGUGUGUGUCUGUCUGUCUGUCUGUCUUUGGAUUUCCUAGCAGUUGCUAUACAUGGGUCCUGACAUCUUUGAAUAAGGACAUUUUCUUCCUUUUCAAUCUCCAUGACUUAUCUUUUUCCUUAUUGUUCUGGCAAGACCCUUCAGUACAUUGUUGAAAACAAGCGGUGAAGGUUGACCUUAUUUUUUUUCCUGAUACAAGGGGGGAAUAUUUAGUUUUUCAUUAUUAAAUAUGGUAUCUGUUGUAGGUUUGUCAUAGGUUGUGGACUUUAUAAAUGUAAGACCAUUUCCAUUGUUAGUUUGAGAAUUGUUACCAUGAAUGGAUAUAGGGGCUUAGUGAAAUGGUUUUAAUAUGUUUUCACUGAGCUGAGCCUGUGGCUUUUGUCAUUUAUUUUAUGGAUAUGGUAUAUUACAUUAAGUGUUUUUUGGAAGUUAGACCAAGCUUGGAUUUCUGGGAUAAGUUACACUGUGUCAGAAUGUGUCACUGAAUUUGAUUUGCUAUUAUUUUAUUAGUGAAUUUUACAUUUAUAUUUUUAUGAGGACUAUUUUCUUGUGAUGCCUUUGUUUUCAGUAUCAGGGUAAUUGGGCUGUAUUAAUUUUCUGUUGCUGCUAUAACAUUAUUACAAACUUAAUGACUUAAGAGCAACGCCAUUUACUAAAACUACACCAUUUACUGAAACUACACUGUUUAUUCAGUUUUGGUGGAUCAGAUUUGAUAUUUGGUUCAGCUGGUUCUUUCUCCGAUUAAUCUCACAAGGCUGAAAUCAAGUUGUUGGCAGCAUUUUGUUCCUUUUAGGAGGCUCUAAAGGAGAACUCACUUUCAGGCUUAGUCAAGGUGUUGGCUGAAUUCACUUCCGUGCAGUUGUAGGACUUGAGGUUUCUAUUUCUUUACUGGCUACUAGCCUGGGGUUAUUUGCAGCUUCUAAGGCUGUCUGCAUUCCCUGGCCUUGUGGCUCCUUGAAAGCCAAUAGCAGGUUAGAUUUCUUUCCAGUUUCAAAUUUCCCUGACUUUCUCUUCCAUAUUUCUGAUACAUGUUUCUUAACUCCAGCCAGAGAAAUUUCUCCCUUUGUAGUGUAGUGUUCAUGUGAUUAGAUUGGGCCCACCUGGAUACCCCAGGCUAAUCUCGUUAAGGAAUGUGACCUUAAUUACAUUUGCUAAGUCCUUGCACAGCAGUACUUAGAUUAUGUUUGAAUGAAUAACUAGGGGACAGGAACCUUGAAGAGAUAGCUUUGGAAUUCUGCCUACUAUACAGUCCUCAUGGAAUUAAUCAGGGGAUUGAACCCAGGGCCUUGACAGAUACUAGGAAGUACUCUACAAUUUAGCUACAGCUACAGUCCUUUUUGUUUUGAGACAGGAUCUAAUUUGUCCAGGGUGAUCUGGAGCAUGUGAUACUCCUACCUUAACCUCCUGAGUAGCUAGGAUUACAGGUGUGUUCCACCAUGUCCAACUUCUUAAAUUAGUUCAGACUAUAGAUUUAAUAUUUUUCUUCUUUUCUGCUAUAAGUGUUUAAAACACCGUUUUAGUUAUAUCUCAUACAUUUUGAUGUUUUGCAUUUAAUUUCAUUCAGUUCAAAACUAUUUUCUAAUUUACUUUGUGAUUUUUUUUUUUUUUGGUACUGGGGAUCAAACUUGGGACCUUGCACUUUUGAGGCAGGCAGUGGAACCACUGAGCUAAAUCCCCAGCCCUGUGAUCUUUUCUUUGAUCUGUCGGUUAUUUUAAAGUAUGUGAUUUAAUUUUGAGAUAAGUACUUGGAGAUUUCUCAUACUUCUUCUCUGCUUUGGAUUUUUAAAAAAUUGUUGUUACUGGAGAACCUACUUGUAUGAUUUUAAUCAUUUUAAAUUUAUUGAUGAUUUCUUAUAGCAUAUCAUAGGGUUUGAUGGACUUUUUCUGGAAAGGGCCAUAUAGAAAAUAUUUUAGGGUUUUUGGUCCAUGUGGUCUGAGUUGCACCUGCUCAUUUUUACUGUCCUAGUGCAAAAACAGCCAUAAACUAUACAACACAUAAACCAGUGAGCCUAUCUUUGUUAGAAUAAAACAAAAAUCAGGGCUGGAUUUGACCUCUGGCCAUAGUGCACUAACCCUAACUUUUUCACCAUUGGGCCCUCAUAUCUUUUCUUGUAUGCAAGCUUGUGGUCAGCCAGAGAUGUCUGACUUUCUGCAGUAUCUCCAUCCUGAUGUGUGGAACACUUAGCGAGGUUCCUCAGAGUUUCAUUUCCAGAUUUGCCCUUUAGAUUUCUGUCUCAUUUCCUGGUUCAUUGCUUGCACUAUGACAGCAACCUCAGGCUGAUGGAUCCUUGGUCUUGCUUGUUGCCAAAAAUAUAAGCUCUUACUGACACUGCGAUGAAUGUGGGGGUUUUCUGUGCUUUGCUUCAUGCCAAAUGAGCUCCCUCUGUGGUGGAAGCUGCUGGUUUUCAUGGCUUUCCCCACCUCAGUGGAACUACCUUUCCCACUAACCUGAGAGUGUUUAAAGGGAACAGCCCCAGGUAAUAAUGCCACAUACACCCACUAUUCUAACCCCAAGUUCAAUAGAUUCUAGUGAAUAACAACAGAGAUGGUAACAUUUGAAAAAAAUCUGAAGGAGAUGAGGAAGUUUUCCAUGUCGCUAUCUACAGGAAGAACAUUCUUGGGAGAGGGAGCACCUUAAGGAUGUUUCAUACAUAUCUAGAGUAUAAAAGGGAUAAUAAAGAGGCUGGCAUGUCUCCAGUAGAAUACGUGAACUCAGAGAAAGGUAGUAGGACAUGCAAUCCGAGCUGUCCGAAAUAGGGGCAGGGCACCUGAAUAGAUAGGACCAUGAGGGCUGCUCUAAGGACUUUUUCGCUUUUCUUUUUAGUGAAAUGGGCCUGAACCAGUAGUGUCAGAGAUAAUCUGUCUUACAAUUUUAUUAUUUCUUUUAUUUUUUGGUACCAGGGAUCGAACUUGGGACUUUGCGCUUGCAAGGCAGGUGGCGGAACAACUGAGCUAAACCCCCUGCCCCUGUCUUACAAUUUUAAAUAGCUGCAAUAGUGAAAUAGAAGCUACAGGUGUCAGGUAGAAGACUCAGGAUGCCAGUUAUAGGCUCUUACCAUUCUGAUUAUGUGUGCAAGAUGUUUGUGAUUUAAACAGAGUGGUAGCAGUGGAGGUGAAGUGGCCCACGUCUGUAGGGGACAGGGGAAGGGGACGUUACCAGAACCUCUGCAGUGAGUCCUGGUCUCCUGCGAGCCACGGCAGCACACGGCGAAUUACAGGAAAGGCAGAAAAAUGAGACCGAGAAGAAGCUGAGCUUUGGGUCUGAUCAGUGCUGCUCUGGGCAGCAAAGACAAAGCCCCCAGCUUACCACACCGUUUAUUCAGUACAUCAGGAGAAACAAAUGUAACAAAUGACUUGCAGAGAGUUCAACAGUUCACAUUGGGAUAAACAAGGUGUAACGGAAGGCUUGCAGAGAGGUCAGUACAUCUCCGGCAAACAAGAUGUUAAUCAGUCCAAGAACAAUGAGGAACUGAGCAGAUGUUUGUUCUCCCAGGAUGUUUCUUGUCCUGGAGAAUCACAGCAUUACUGGAUCACUGAAGUCUCAGUUGUGACCAGAGGCCAAACUGGAGUUAUUCUGUAGCUGGGCUGUAGGCAAGAGAACUAGGCUAACCAAAUGAUUUUUCCGUAGAAUUAUGUAGCAUUGCUCCCAACACACGUCUGGGUGUAUUUUAAAG